AUACGGAGGGUGCGAGCGUUGUUCGGAAUUAUUGGGCGUAAAGAGCAUGUAGGCGGUCUGUUAAGUCUGGUGUGAAAGCCCGGGGCUCAACCCCGGAAGUGCAUUGGAUACUGGCAGACUUGAGUAUGGGAGAGGAAAGCGGAAUUCCGAGUGUAGGAGUGAAAUCCGUAGAUAUUCGGAGGAAUACCAGUGGCGAAGGCGGCUUUCUGGACCAAUACUGACGCUGAGAUGCGAAAGCGUGGGGAGCAAACAGGAUUAGAUACCCCAGUAGUCC
rnacentral:rRNA from 1 species